rnacentral:rRNA from 1 species
AGAGUUUGAUCCUGGCUCAGAACGAACGCUGGCGGCAGGCUUAACACAUGCAAGUCGAACGCACCGCAAGGUGAGUGGCAGACGGGUGAGUAACGCGUGGGAACGUGCCCUUCAGUUCGGGAUAACCCAGGGAAACUUGGGCUAAUACCGGAUACGUGCGAGAGCAGAAAGAUUUAUCGCUGAAGGAUCGGCCCGCGUCUGAUUAGCUAGUUGGUAGGGUAAUGGCCUACCAAGGCGACGAUCAGUAGCUGGUCUGAGAGGAUGAUCAGCCACAUUGGGACUGAGACACGGCCCAAACUCCUACGGGAGGCAGCAGUGGGGAAUUUUCCGCAAUGGGCGAAAGCCUGACGGAGCAAGACCGCGUGGGGGAAGAAGGCUCUUGGGUUGUAAACCCCUUUUCUCUGGGAAGAAAGUUGUGAAAGCAACCUGACGGUACCAGAGGAAUCAGCAUCGGCUAACUCCGUGCCAGCAGCCGCGGUAAGACGGAGGAUGCAAGCGUUAUCCGGAAUGAUUGGGCGUAAAGCGUCCGCAGGUGGCAGUUCAAGUCUGCUGUCAAAGACCGGGGCUUAACCUCGGAAAGGCAGUGGAAACUGAACAGCUAGAGUAUGGUAGGGGCAGAGGGAAUUCCUGGUGUAGCGGUGAAAUGCGUAGAGAUCAGGAAGAACAUCGGUGGCGAAGGCGCUCUGCUGGACCAUAACUGACACUCAGGGACGAAAGCUAGGGGAGCGAAUGGGAUUAGAUACCCCCGUAGUCC